rnacentral:misc_RNA from 1 species
AUGGUUUAGUGAGGCCUUCUGACUGGCGCCGAUACUCUGGCAACAGAGCGCCGGAUGCCGGGAAGUUGGUCAAACUUGAUCAUUUAGAGGAAGUAAAAGUCGUAACAAGGUUUCCGUAGGUGAACCUGCGGAAGGAUCAUUACCGAUUUCCAAACGUGGUCGUCACGAACCCGUGUGAACCCGUCGCAACCAUCUUUAGGGGUCGGCCCGGGUGCCGUUAAAUGGUCGGGCGUCCGUCGAUUCGGCGUGCGGCCAGCCCCGCCUUCGUCACGUUUGACGCACUUGAACGUACCGAUCUGAAACGUUUCCCUGCCUGCUGCCAGCAGGUUGAAGAGGAAAGAAAAAAAAAAAAAGAGAGAGAGACAACUUUUAACGGUGGAUCUCUUGGCUCACGUAUCGAUGAAGAACGCAGCCAGCUGCGAUAAGUAGUGUGAAUUGCAGAAUUCAGUGAAUCAUCGAAUCUUUGAACGCAAAUGGCGCUCUUGGGUUCUCCCAGGAGCAUGUCUGUCUGAGUGUCGGAUAACAUGGAACGCASCCCGAGGGCGUGCGGAAUUGGGGCGUCACGGCCCGACCGUGUCCCCCGAAGGAGAGCGUGCUGGAAUCGCUCGGCGACCCACCUCCGUGCGAAGGCUAAAAGGAAGCUAUAUCUUGAAGUCCUUCGCCGAGGUGCGGCUUCGCCGUGGCGGAUCGGCCGAAGGAAAGGUGAGACUACUCUUGAUCUUGACCUCAGAUCAGGCAAGGCUACCCGCUGAAUUUAAGCAUAUUAAUAAGCGGAGGAAAAGAAACUAACAAGGAUUCCCCCAGUAACGGCGAGUGAAGCGGGACGAGCUCAAAUUUGAAAUCUCCGACGCUUGCGUCGGCGAGUUGUAGUUGCGAGAAGCACUUUCUCGGCGGAUCGGGCGUGCCUAAGUUGCUUGGAACGGUACGUCGCAGAGGGUGACAACCCCGUCUGUGGCACGGCCGGCCGCUCACGA